GAUGAACGCUAGCUACAGGCUUAACACAUGCAAGUCGAGGGGUAACGAGAGGAAAGCUUGCUUUCCUUGUCGACGACCGGCGCACGGGUGAGUAACGCGUAUCCAACCUGCCCCCAACUAGGGAAUAACCUUGCGAAAGUAAGACUAAUACCCUAUAAUUUCCUCAGAUGUCAUCUGACGAGGAAUAAAGAUUGAUGGGUUGCGGAUGGGGAUGCGUCUGAUUAGCUUGUUGGCGGGGUAACGUCCCACCAAGGCAACGAUCAGUAGGGGUUCUGAGAGGAAGGUCCCCCACAUUGGAACUGAGACACGGUCCAAACUCCUACGGGAGGCAGCAGUGAGGAAUAUUGGUCAAUGGGCGGAAGCCUGAACUAGCCAAGUAGCGUGCAGGAUGACGGCCCUAUGGGUUGUAAACUGCUUUUAUACAGGAAUAAAGUUAGCCACGUGUGGUUAUUUGUAGGUACUGUAUGAAUAAGGACCGGCUAAUUCCGUGCCAGCCGCCGCCGUAA
rnacentral:rRNA from 1 species